UGCUGACUGUGAUACACAUCCAGGAAAAACCCAGACCAAAGCCAUGAAGUCACCCCAAGUUCAAACCCAAAAUGCAAUUUGCAGUGGUUAGAAAUGACAAAGGAUGGGUGGUAGGAUCCAGAGAAAAAACAGUGAAACCCGAUGGACCUUAAAUAGAUCUGAGGGCACUGAUUUGAUUAUUUUGGGUGAAAUCUUUUAAGAAAAUCUUGUCAGAUUCUUCACAGAAAAUUUGGUAAAGCCUAUAUUUCAUCGCCAGCCUAGCAAAGGCAAGCUGGCAAACAGGGAAACAAGGAGAACUGUGUGCUCAGCCCUCCAGAGUGGCACGGAUUAUGAGGAGGUGAUGGUCCUUCCCCGCCAAGAUCCUGAGACACUGUCACUCCGGAAUCCAAAAAGAGAUUCAGAUACCAUGAAAGGAUUUGAGCGUUUUUUUAUGUGAAUCCAAAGAUGACAUUUACAAAAGGUGGAGAAGCAGUUCCCUACUGAGGGACGUGGAUACAAAAAGCAGAUGACACAACACAUCCCAUAGAGUUCCCAGGGAAGAAUGAACCCAGAUUCUUGACCUGCAGAGGUUAUCGCAGUCGACUUCAGGCUGGAACGGGCAUUGCUCUUGCACUGAAGAAAGUCUGUCCUGACUCCCUCAGAGUGCCUCAACAUCAACCAAGAGCCACCGUGAACCUCUGGGGCACUGAGCCUGGCCACCAGCACCCCCACCCCAGCCCAUAUGGCCUGGGCCUCUCCCUUGAUGUUUAAAGGAGAUGAUAAAAAUGCUGCAACCCAGAUAAUGAUCACCUUACUCUUCAAAAAUACUGCCCAAGUUCUUUGUUCAAGAUGCCAAGAACCUGGAUACCCUCCACUGGUAACAAAUAUGACUUUGUUUUUAGCAAGCAACUUUGCAGUGUAAUUAAGUUAAGGAUCUUGAGAUGAGAUCAUCUUGGAAUAUCUGGGUGGGCCCUAAAUCCAAUGACAAGUGUCCUCAUAGGAAGGGAAGAUACACACAGAGGAGAAGGUGGUGUGAAGAUGGAAGCCAAGACUGUUGAUACCAGUUGGAGAGCACCAAGAACUACCCGCAGCCACUGAAAGCUAGGAGAGAGGCAUAGGACUGUCUCCUUCAGACCCUCCAGAAAGACCAAACCUGCCCGUGCCUUGAUUUCAGACUUUUGGCCUCCCACAUUGUGAGAGAAUAAAAUUUUGUUUUUGAAGCCAU
rnacentral:lncRNA from 10 species